AUCCUUUUGUAGUUCAUAAGCGUGAUUGGGUGUUCACACCGUGGUGUGACAUGUGCCACCUUUAAACCUUGUUAUGACGUUGGCACAUUACCUGUCUGACG